GAUGAACGCUGGCGGCGUGCCUAAUACAUGCAAGUCGAGCGAACGGACGAGAAGCUUGCUUCUCUGAUGUUAGCGGCGGACGGGGGAGUAACACGUGGAUAACCUACCUAUAAGACUGGGAUAACUUCGGGAAACCGGAGCUAAUACCGGAUGAUAUUUUGAACCGCAUGGUUCAACAGUGAAAGACGGUCUUGCUGUCACUUAUAGAUGGAUCCGCGCUGCAUUAGCUAGUUGGUAAGGUAACGGCUUACCAAGGCAACGAUGCAUAGCCGACCUGAGAGGGUGAUCGGCCACACUGGAACUGAGACACGGUCCAGACUCCUACGGGAGGCAGCAGUAGGGAAUCUUCCGCGAUGGGCGAAAGCCUGACGGAGCAACGCCGCGUGAGUGAUGAAGGUCUUCGGAUCGUAAAACUCUGUUAUUAGGGAAGAACAUAUGUGUAAGUAACUGUGCACAUCUUGACGGUACCUAAUCAGAAAGCCACGGCUAACUACGUG
rnacentral:rRNA from 1 species